GCAGAGCAAACAUUGAUUCGUUUCGCGCACGAUAGAAGAUAGGAUAGAAUAGAAGUGUUUUAGUAGCUAGUAGGAUACAAAGAACUAACCAGAUCCUGAUCUGUCGUAGGAACAGAAGUGUUCUUUAGCUAGCUAAGGAGAACUUCUCGAGAGGAAAGAUUCAUACCGAUCCAUUCCACUGAUAUAUAUAUAUGGCUUCUUUCAUUGGCAGCUUCGUGCCAAAGAACUUGCUAAGGGUGCUCAGCCCCGCCGGUCCUCAGCGAGUUGGAAGAAGUAUAAUCAUAAGGUGUGCCGGCAACAGUACUGCUCGAGAUAAUAAGCCACCAAGGCAAAAGAUCAAGACCAAAGACCCACAGACAAAUGCCGUCCCAACUGCAAAAAACAGGACAAUUCAGACGGAUAAGAGCAGUAAACAGGCAAGCAGCAAGUGAUGAAUCAGCUAUAUGAAGUUGAAAGAGUUGCUUUAUCAAGAUUGUAACUAUAAUAAGUAGAGUUGUUCUGGCUUGUUAUGAAUUAGUACGAAA